AACGAACGCUGGCGGCAGGCUUAACACAUGCAAGUCGAGCGCCCUGCAAGGGGAGCGGCAGACGGGUGAGUAACGCGUGGGAAUCUACCUUGAACUACGGGAUAGCUCCGGGAAACUGGAAUUAAUACCGUAUGUGCCCUUCGGGGGAAAGAUUUAUCGGUUCAGGAUGAGCCCGCGUCGGAUUAGCUAGUUGGUGGGGUAAAGGCCUACCAAGGCGACGAUCCGUAGCUGGUCUAAGAGGGUGAUCAGCCACAUUGGGACUGAGACACGGCCCAAACUCCUACGGGAGGCAGCAGUGGGGAAUAUUGGACAAUGGGCGCAAGCCUGAUCCAGCCAUGCCGCGUGAGUGAUGAAGGCCCUAGGGUUGUAAAGCUCUUUCACCGGGGACGAUAAUGACGGUACCCGGAGAAGAAGCCCCGGCUAACUUCGUGCCAGCCGCCGCGGUAA
rnacentral:rRNA from 1 species